UGGGAUAUAGCCAAGUCUGGUAAGGCAACGGUUUUUGAUAUCGUGAUUCGGAGGUUCAAAUCCUCCUAUCCCAG
rnacentral:tRNA from 1 species